rnacentral:rRNA from 1 species
UACGUAGGGAGCAAGCGUUGUCCGGAAUCAUUGGGCGUAAAGCGCGCGUAGACGGUUAUCUAAGUCGGAUGUGAAAGCCCCGGGCUCAACCUGGGAAUUGCAUUCGAGACUGAAUAGCUAGGGUGCGGUAGAGGGAAGCGGAAUUUCCGGUGUAGCGGUGAAAUGCGUAGAUAUCGGAAGGAACAUCAGUGGCGAAAGCGGCUUCCUGGACCAGCACCGACGUUCAGGCACGAAAGCGUGGGGAGCAAACAGG